GGCACAAGCGGUGGAGCAUGUGGUUAAUUCGAAGCAACGCGAAGACUACCUGGCCUUGACAUCCAGAAAUCCCUUGGAAACUUGGGAGUGCUUCCAUUAGGAAGAAUCUGGAGACAGGUGCUGCAUGGCUGUCGUCAGCUCGUGUCGUGAGAUGUUGGGUUAAGUCCCGCAACGAGCGCAACCCUUGCCUUUAGUUGCCAGCAGUUCGGCUGGGCACUCUAAAGGGACUGCCGGUGUUAAACCGGAGGAAGGUGGGGAUGACGUCAAGUCCUCAUGGCCUUUAUGACCAGGGCUACACACGUACUACAAUGGCCGAUACAAAGGGCAGCGACACUGCGAGGUGAAGCCAAUCCCGUAAAAUCGGUCUCAGUCCGGAUUGGAGUCUGCAACUCGACUCCAUGAAGUUGGAAUCGCUAGUAAUCGUGGAUCAGCAUGCCACGGUGAAUACGUUCCCGGGCCUU
rnacentral:rRNA from 1 species